rnacentral:misc_RNA from 1 species
AGCCACCGCCUUACUUCCAGUGUUGUACCUCCACGAAGGCUUGAUCGGCCCGUGCGCGACAACAGCUUCUCUACAAGAUACGGCCGGGGGGGGCGAGGACAGGCGGCGACGACUUCCUCUUUGUUUUAGCGUCGCUUCUUUCUCGCCUUCCCACGGACAGUGCGCACGUGUUGCGUGGCACACGCCACUUCUUCCCUCCCCACACACACCUGUAGGGUCACAGGCACGCCCACGCGCUUCCUAUUCUCCCAGCUUUUCUUCUGCGGAGCUCCUUACAUUCGAUGAAGCGUGGGCGAGAAGAGGACACGGAGGCAGAGGUAGGAGGUAGCCGCGUAGGGCCCAGUGACCCCGGCAGCGCUGCGACGAGUACAGUGCACAAACCGCGCCGGCUGGUCAAGGGUGUCGAUGUCGGACUGCCGCUUCACGCGUCCGUCAUUGAGGAAAUCUGCGAGGUGGAAGAGACACAUACGGUGCUUGUGCGCUUUCCCUGCUUUGACUUCUUCCGACACGUACGCGUGUGCGAGCGUACUCGAGACCCGCAGCCCGCCACAUCCGGCGAUGCUGCCAAGGCUUCGGCAAGUCUUGUAAGCGCGUUAUCAGACACCACUUUCCGUAGUGGCGCGCCUCCGGCCACCUCGCCGCACGAUACUGCCGACGCCGCCUUCGCCCCGGAAGCCGCGGUCUUUAUAUCAGGGACGCUAGAGACGGAUGCGCCGCGACUCUUGCUGAACGGCGGCACCCCACAUGAAAUGCUUUUCGAGGGGCAGUGGACUGAGGUGGCUGGCGAAGGCGUAUCCGUCACAAAUCGUGCCGUUGUGCACGUCAGUGCCAAGACGGCAGGUAUCACUGUGCCACCAGCAGCACCUCCUUUGAACUCCUCCCCAAUUAUGAGCGACGCGGCAAAGUCUCCCGAGCCGGCGCGUGCCACCGCUGAGUCGUUUCCUGCGUCUGCAUCUCAGGCAACGGGGACGCCUGCGCUGCCGAUCGCGAGUUUGCUGACGCAUACGCUUGCCGGCGUCACCGCCGACGAGGAGCGCCGCCAGCGGGCGGAGCAGCAGAAGGGCUGGGCCUACGAUCGCAUCGAUGUACCCUCAGCCGUCCUCGUCAUGCAUCGUGUGCGCUAAAACGACAUGCAGGCCUCGCAGAGCUGCUUUGGUACCGGUGAAGAGUGAAAGGGCAACGUGGACAUGGAUGCUGAUCCGUCGAGAUGCCGCCCAGCUGGUCUCCGUGCCGACACAACACCGAGGCAAGCCCAGCGAAAGAAAGAAAACAAAAACAACUAGCGCCAUGCCGAGAGUGUUGCAGACACUUCCGACGCUCACGGGUGCCAGGGCGACGAUGCCCCUUUUUGUGCGUGUAGAAGUCUCGUUUCCGCGUGUGCCCCUUGCUCUGCCCGUGCAACGCGAGCUGCACGCCACUCCACACCCCUCCAGCCGGCCCCGUCACACCGGCCCACAUGGCCUGGCGCGAGGCAGCGGUAGGCAUACGCGGUACAGCACUGCGCCAACACAGUCACCUGCGUACGGCCUCCGUCCCAAGCGCUACACAGCCGCACCCUCCUUGAGAGUGGCGCAGGCUCCCUGCACCGCUGGGCAGAGUGAGGGGCCCGGAGGGGGAGGGAGAGGGGGGAGAUGUGUUCGAGCCACGCUGGCCGCUCCGACGCCACGCCCUCCACAACCUCACCAGCGACAUCAGCAGCGAUACAUCGCUCUGACCUCCCCUACGUCGUCGGUGCUGGGCCCCGCCACCACCCGAGGUGGCUGGGGCACUUGGCAGGGGUUUAGGGGUUGGGGGGCUGGCUCGCUUCCCCACAGCCACACACACACACACAGAGUGGGGUGCGUGCUGGGCCCUGCGACACGACGCACUGAGGGGUUCUAUCAUCUCCGUCAUCCGGGGGAUGUGUGCGUAUCCAG